GACUGCAUAGCUCAGCUGGUAGUGCGUUUGUCUUCUGUUAGAAUGACCCCUGGUUCAAACCCAUCUGAGGUAU